rnacentral:lncRNA from 1 species
UCGAGGAGUGGGCGGGGUUAAAGUGAUACUGGAUUCCUAUUGGCUGAGGCCGGGGCAGCAGCAGCCGUGAGCGCUGUGCAGCCGAAGCAGAAGAGAAGCAGUCAGGCAGCCAGCGCUUCUCAACGGGGGGUUUAAAAGAGAAACUAGCCCAACUGUUCGUUCUGGACCGCCGAACACACCCCCUUAACUUAAUACAGUUGUGAACAAUUAGCAUUAUUAGCUAGUCUUGGCCUCUGUCGUCAGUAUUAGAGGCGAAUAGAUAAAAAAGCGAGGAUGUUGGUCCCCGCGGGAAGAUAAUGAAGAAGCUGCGCGUGUUGUUGCUGUGCGCCGUUUUAGCUCUCCUGUGCUGGCACUCUUGUCAUCAUGUUUAUUGUUCAGAAGAGAUCUCCUCUGGCCCAGGACUCCCAGCACAGGAUGACAGCCGUUACACAGCGCAGGAACCAGGGGCCGACGACAAGGUUGAAGAGGAAAGGGCGACACACACGCAGUCAUCGUACGACGUGGGUCUGGAGACAGAGAGAGCUGCACUAAAGGAAACAUCAUUGCACUCACAAGACGCCCUGCACGAAGAGAAGCACAAACAGACUGUGAAUUUGGAAGAAGUUUUGGAGGAGCCGCAGAUUCAGCUUGAGUCUGCUCUCCCUGAGCUAGAACAACAACAACAACAACAGCAGCAGGAGCAGCAACCAGAACCCCAGAGCACCCAACAAUCAGACCAACAACAGUCAGCUCAGCCACCAACACUUACACAGCCCCAAACAGCACCGCCACUCUCCCAGCCCCAGCCAGACCCUGAAACUCUACAGGCCACUGCCACAGAAGAUCAGGGUGCCCACGCCUCCGCUGCUUUAACCCCCCCACAGACUGACCCACAUGGAGAAGACCCGUCUGCACCUCCUGCUGAACUCCAGAAGAGCCCAGAGUCAGCCUCACCUACCUCAGUCACCUCCUCCGAGAGCUCCUCCAGGUGAGUACAAGCACAACCGUUUGGGAGAGAAGAGGGUGGGAACUUUAAAUGUUUGUCAUUUCAUUCAUUUUAUUUUCUUAUCGAGUCAUUUCUGUGAUCCAUUUCUGCAUCCAAACUUUUAAACUGAAUCAGUAAAGCAUACAAUCAUCACUUCAUGGACUUCAUAUGGCACCUACUUUGGACGUUUUUUCAACUGCAUCACAGUGGAUCUCACCUUCUUUACUAGUCCACUAUGACUUGUUUUCACCGGACUUGGAGCGUUUACGAAUCUUCCAUUUCAACAAGGACCGAAAAAAAACAAUAUCACUUUGCGAUUUAAAAUGUAAUAAACCAGUACUUCAAGAACCUCUAUGGAGCCCUGGACAAAUGUUCAGUCCAUACGUGGAGCCAGAUUACUUUCUCUCUCUUAUCCUUUCUAUCCCCCUCCCUCUCUCUAUUAGUAUUCCUCUCCCAUUCCUCUCUAUUUUCCUUUCUCUUGGUGUAAACCCAAUUUGAUUUCUUUCCUUCAGUGGACUAGAUGUUCCGCGUCCUGAUGCCCCUGUAGAGAACUCUAGUGCCAGUCAGUGUGAGGUGGG